CACGUAGGAGGCAAACGUUAUCCGGAUUUACUGGGCGUAAAGCGCGUGUAGGUGGUUCUGUAAGUAGGGCGUGAAAGCUCCCGGCUCAACUGGGAGAGGCCGUCCUAAACUGCAGAGCUAGAGGAUGGUAGAGGGAGGUGGAAUUCCGGGUGUAGUGGUGAAAUGCGCAGAUAUCCGGAGGAACACCAGUGGCGAAGGCGACCUCCUGGGCCAUUCCUGACGCUCAGACGCGAAAGCUAGGGUAGCGAACGGGAUUAGAUACCCCCGUAGUCCCUGAG
rnacentral:rRNA from 1 species